rnacentral:rRNA from 1 species
AUUGAACGCUGGCGGCAUGCCUUACACAUGCAAGUCGAACGGUAACAGGUCUUCGGAUGCUGACGAGUGGCGAACGGGUGAGUAAUACAUCGGAACGUGCCUAGUAGUGGGGGAUAACUACUCGAAAGAGUAGCUAAUACCGCAUGAGAUCUACGGAUGAAAGCAGGGGAUCGCAAGACCUUGUGCUACUAGAGCGGCCGAUGGCAGAUUAGGUAGUUGGUGGGAUAAAAGCUUACCAAGCCGACGAUCUGGUGCUGGUCUGCGAGGACGAUCAGCCGCACUGGGACUGAGACACGGCCCAGACUCCUACGGGAGGCAGCAGAGGGGAAUUGUGGACAAUGGGCGAAAGCCUGAUCCAGCAAUGCCGCGUGCAGGAUGAAGGCCUUCGGGUUGUAAACUGCUUUUGUACGGAACGGAAAGCCCCGGGUUAAUACCCUGGGGUCAUGACGGUACCGUAAGAAUAAGCACCGGCUAACUACGUGCCAGCCGCCGCCGUAA